UAGAAGGAGAAACUUGAUAUCCUGAGUAGGAGGUGGCGAGAGGCUUUCUAGGUUUGGUAGGGAAGUGUUUAAGGAGAUCCUCAAAAAGUGGAGUUUGCCUCAGUCUGACUGUGAUCCAGGGUAAAUUCUGUGUUACUAAACAUUCUAAAUAUUAACUGUUUUAUCUAUUCAAGAUAUUGGGCUCAGACUGUCCUCAUAGCACUCAUUUCUCAGUGAUGCAUUUAUAAAUUCAUUGGAAUAAGUGGAGUGAGAAUAUUUUUCUGAAUUUGAGCAAGUAGAAGGGGUUUAGGGGGAGAGCAAUACACCUAAAUGGUGAGAGCCUUUUUCAAAUAAUUGAUUGCGGGGGGGGGGGUAAAAAAGGCAAAGCUUAAACAUCUGAAAUGUGAAAUCUGUUGGAGUGAGAUACUUUGAAAAGACUUCAAAAUGAGCACCAGCUGUCAUCCUAUUAAAAGUCUGCGGCCAGAUUCUGGAAGGUCUGGCUGAGGGUUCACAAUCUCACAGCGCCAUUUGUCAACUGCAUACGAGAAAAGAACUUGGAACAAUUGGAUUCAAGUCUCAUUCUGCCUCACUUUAAUAGCCUCUUUUUGCUGUUUCUCACUGGGUCUGGAAAGAAUGCUAAAAGACAGAUAAUGGAAAGACCUGGCAGUUUUCUGGAACACUGGAGGCUUCCACAGGAGCUGCCCCCAGAUGCCUUCUGCAUUGCAUGGAUCUGGUGCUUCCAGCUGUCAGCUCUGGAGCUGAUAUUGCAGCCGUGUUUGAGCAGCUGCAGCCCCGGGAAAGUUGUCUUACAGAGUGAAAGGACACCCAGGCUUCUGGCAGAACUGCCAGGUGGCCUCACAGGAGGUGGGCACAAAGAUUUUAGCUCUGCAACUCAGGAAUAGCAUGUUUUGCCAGAGCAACAGCUCAUCAAUUGCUGCGAUUGCUUUUCUUUUAAUGAAGGUUUGGCUUCUGUCAGCAGCCUGAAUAGAAGCCCUGAGGACACAGCUGGACAGUUUUCUCCGUAACACUCCUAUGAAACUGAAAACAGCCCGGGGUCUGAAAUAGUUCAGGGUCCUUUCCAAACCUGUGUUGUUGUUGUGGGCAAUGUUGCAAUAUAUAUUUAAUCUGGAAACAUCUGUUUCACCUACCCUAACUCUAAAAAGGCCGUUUGAAGAUUUUUUUAUUAUUAUUUAUUUUUUAAUAUAAGACUACAAUAAAAGACCAGACUCUUAGAAAUUAUAUAUUUUGCAUAGAAGAAAUCGGAAGUAGCCAAUAUGCUGUUUUGUCUGCAAAUCUAUUAGGUAAAUUUCUCAGCUGCUACUCAGGGAAGUGUGCUAACCACCUUGGAUAUAAAGCUCAGUUUAGUUCCCAGAGAGAUUUGAAAUAGGAAAGUGAUGCUAUUCUGUGAAAAAAAAAAAUACAGAUUUUUCAAGAAUCCGUCUCUUGUUACUCAAAAGGAUGUGUUUUUUUUUUUUUUUUUUUUUUUUUUUUCAAUAUUCCAACAUGUUAUUCACACCUUUUCUCUAGAAGUGUGUGUAACACAAUACAAACUGAUGACAUUCCAGCAGGAGAUUUCAAACAUGGCAGAAGCAGCUUGAAGCACAGUCUGUUUAUUGUUGUCUUAGAUCUGAAUAAGGAAGUUAGACUGCCUCCCAUUGGGAGCAAUCCAAGUAGUAGGUUGAGUUGAAAUAUUACACCUAAAGU